CUGGGAUAUGACAGGAAGCGUUUUUAUAUUGCAGACGUAAACAUCAAGCCAGAUUUGAAAGCAUAGAAUUGAAGCGAGUAAGAUGUCUGGUAUUCAUCUCCGAGUGGCAGUCGAAGAGUGGGAACCAUGGGUUUGGGUGAAAGAGAGCGAAGAUGGAAAUGUUACAAUUUGGGGACCAAUGGCUGACGUUCUUAAUAUACUU